CUCUCGUGCACCACCUCCUGCCUUCGCCACUCUGACGGUGCUUCUGAAACAGGCCAGAUAAACAGUGCUGUGGCAAGGUGUGGCCUCUUGUGGGUAAAGCCAGACCCCAAAGCUGGGCUGUGUCGGCCUCUCGGGCAAGACUAAGGUCAGGGACCUUUGUCUGGUAUGGGGACCCCCACACGUAGCUGGGAGUUCCCACUGUCAGCAGAAGGGCUCCUGGGCCCAGUCUCUGGGUUCUGC
rnacentral:lncRNA from 1 species